AUGACCGACACGCUGACCAUCAGCGGCAGCACCACCGUCCGCAACUUCCGGUUCGGGUGCAGCCACGCCGUGCGCGGCAAGUUCAGCGACCAGACCGCCGGGACCAUGUCCCUCGGCGGCGGCGCCCAGUCGCUCCUCGCCCAGACGGCCCGCUCCCUGGGCAAUGCCUUCUCCAGACGGUCCUACUGCGUACCGCCGGCCAGCGCGUCCGGCUUCCUCUCCAUCGGCGGGCCGGUGACGACCAACUCCACCACCGUGUUCGCCACCACGCCGCUCGUCCGGAGCGCCAUCAACCCGAGCCUAUACCUGGUGCGGCUCCAGGGCAUCGUCGUGGCGGGGCGCCGACUCAGGAUCCCGCCGGUGGUCUUCUCCGCCGGGGCGGUGAUGGACUCGAGCGCCGUCAUCACGCAGCUGCCCCCCACCGCGUACCGCGCCCUGCGCCGGGCCUUCAGGAACGCCAUGAGGGCGUACCCGAGGAGCGGGGCCACGGGGACCCUGGACACCUGCUACGACUUCCUAGGGGUCGCCAACGUGAGGGUGCCCGCCGUCUCCCUCGUGUUCGGUGGCGGCGCCGUGGUGGUGCUGGACCCGCCGGCCGUGGUGCUCGGGGGAUGCCUCGCCUUCACGGCCACCUCCUCUGACCUGGCCCUCGGCUUCAUCGGCAACGUGCAGCAGCAGACGCACGAGGUGCUCUACGACGUCGCCGCCGGGGGCGUCGGCUUCCGCCGUGGCGCAUGUUAG
rnacentral:rRNA from 1 species